CAUGCCCUACGGGAGGCAGCAGUGAGGAAUAUUGGUCAAUGGGCGGAAGCCUGAACCAGCCAAGUCGCGUGAGGGAAGAAGGCCCUGCGGGUCGCAGACCUCUUUGGACGGGGAGCAAGGCCGCCGACGUGUCGGCGGAAGGAGAGUACCCGUAGAACAAGCAUCGGCUAACUCCGUGCCAGCAGCCGCGGUAAUACGGAGGAUGCGAGCGUUAUCCGGAUUUAUUGGGUUUAAAGGGUGCGCAGGCGGUACGGCAAGCCGGCGGUCAAAUCGCCGAGCUCAACCCCGCCCAGCCGU
rnacentral:rRNA from 1 species